UACAGAGGGGGCAAGCGUUGUUCGGAAUUACUGGGCGUAAAGGGCGCGUAGGCGGCCUGUUAAGUCGAACGUGAAAUCCCCGGGCUCAACCCGGGAACUGCGUCCGAUACUGGCAGGCUUGAAUCCGGGAGAGGGAUGCGGAAUUCCAGGUGUAGCGGUGAAAUGCGUAGAUAUCUGGAGGAACACCGGUGGCGAAGGCGGCGUUCUGGACUGUUUCUGACACUGAAAAACGAAAGCCAGGGGAGCAAACGGG
rnacentral:rRNA from 1 species